AAUCAACGCUGGCGGCGUGCCUAACACAUGCAAGUCGCACGAGAAAGGGGAGCAAUCCCUGAGUAAAGUGGCGCACGGGUGAGUAACACGUGAAUCAUCUACCUCCGAGUGGGGAAUAACUGAGAGAAAUCUUAGCUAAUACCGCAUAACACUUACGAGUCAAAGCAGCAAUGCGCUUGGAGAGGAGUUCGCGGCCGAUUAGUUAGUUGGCGGGGUAAUGGCCCACCAAGACGAUGAUCGGUAUCCGGCCUGAGAGGGCGCACGGACACACUGGAACUGAAACACGGUCCAGACUCCUACGGGAGGCAGCAGUGGGGAAUUUUGCGCAAUGGGGGAAACCCUGACGCAGCAACGCCGCGUGGAGGAUGAAGU
rnacentral:rRNA from 1 species